UCUGUAUUGAAUGACAUCCAGAAGCUGCAGAACAAGCAGUUUCUUUUGGUCCAUGGCACUGCAGAUGGUGAGACACAAGUCCAUGGAAUGAGCAGGUGCAUGUUGGGCAGCAUCAUUGAAGUACAUUAUAAAUGCAUAGCAUGCGUUACUAAUGGACAUGAAAGCACACAUUGAGGAUUAUUUACAACCAAGCCAACGUGCACUUCCAGCACACAGCUGAGCUACUAAGUCGUCUGAUCCAGGCUGGAGCCAAUGUCACCAGUAGGAUUUACCCUGAUGAGGACCAUUUCUUCCUGUCAAAGGGCAGUCAGCGCAACCUGCACCAGUCAGUAGUCUCCUAUCUGCAGAACUGUCUUCAGGGGGAUGGCAUACGACAAAGUGGCCAGUGAGAGAUGGACCUGGCUAGCCUCACACAGAGCACAAGUAGAUGAUCUAAGAAAGGACCAUGCUUAUGGACUUAUUGGGGCUACUCAAUAAUAAAUGCUUCCUUGGUGGUGAAUUGCCUGCAGCUCAUCGCUUAUGAGAAAUUGAACACAGUUUGGCAUAAUGUUUUGCUUAUAGUGUACAUCUUCAUCUGUUACAUGAAUCUUCAUUUUUUCAUUGCUUUGAAUAUUUUAUAGUCUGGGGCAAACACUAGUGCACCAAACCAAAAUACCUCCACUUGCUAAGUUUGUAUAAGCAAGGUGCCAGAUUUCAAUGACUUUACCAGCAGCAGAGGCCAGCUGAACACGUCAUGUGACAUUGCAGAUGUAUGAAGCAUUAUUGCAGCAAUACACCAGGA